rnacentral:lncRNA from 1 species
CAGGCUGCGCUUUAGCAAGACAAAUCCUCGAACCUCAAAGAGGCCAGCGGCCGUGUAAUUUCCUCUAUCAAAAAUAUAUAUAACAAAGUAAACUUCGAUGAAUUCAUCAAAUGGUGGUGCGUGAAAUGUAUAUGAUUUCUGUCAUGUUUUUACCAUAUUUCUAAGACACUGGAAACUUUGGCGAUGCGUGAAAAAACAUGACACGCAUCCCACGUCCGAUUGCAGAUGCAACAAGAGUUGGAUAAAAAACCAGCGAAGCAUACCUUUGCCUUCAAGAAGACCUUUUUGUUCUUCUUCUCAAACAUACAGGCUUUUGAAUUCCCACACUAUCAAUCUUUUGUGGCUUAUAAAGGAAUGCUUCUUUAACUCAUCCUCAUCAAGCAACGAUGCAACUGAUGAACUUAUUAAGCCUUGCUAAGAAAACACAAGCAAAGAUACAAAAAGCUGUUAGGAAAAACCCC